UACGUUGAACUCAGCACCAAUGGGUACAUCAACACAGCGAGAUUCACAACUCCAGGUUGCUAUAAUCCCGACGAGACGCUUACAUUUUGUCACGACGAAGAACUCAAGGAAGCCAUUCAGAGAGAAUCCGAAUCACUACACGCAGCAGAGAGCGUAGCAGUUGGAGGUAGCAGCAGCAAUCUCACGAUUAUCACCAUUGCCUGCUGUGUUGGCAUCUGCAUAGCCGUGGCCUUUACUGCGUUCGUUAUCUGGAAGCAGUACAAGACGACCAAACUGCAGAGCCCUCUAGUGAGAAAGAAUGCCAUUAAGAGAAGAAGAGUACCUCACUUGGGGUACGUAGAAGAACCCAUGGCAGGGCAGCAGCAGAACUGUGUGGCUAUUCAAAUUGAAUUCCUCUAAUCACCGGGCACAAGAUUAGAAGUAAUUGAAUUAAUGACGAAGAUGAAGAGGAUGUCAUACUUUCUCCAACAAACAUUUUGAAGUCUAAUUCUCGAUUCACGCGCAAUAACUC